rnacentral:rRNA from 1 species
UACAGAGGUCCCAAGCGUUGUUCGGAUUCACUGGGCGUAAAGGGUGCGUAGGCGGCCAGGUAAGUCUGCUGUGAAAUCCCGCAGCUCAACUGCGGAACUGCAUUGGAAACUAUCUGGCUAGAGGAAUGGAGGGGAGACUGGAAUUCUCGGUGUAGCAGUGAAAUGCGUAGAUAUCGAGAGGAACACCAGUGGCGAAGGCGAGUCUCUGGGCCACUACUGACGCUGAGAAGCGAAAGCAUGGGGAGCGAACAGG